CUCGGGGUUGGGGGGGUUCCUCAGCCUGGAUUGAGAGAGGGCGCAGGCCAGGCUGAGGGACCCCACUGGUGCAUG
rnacentral:pre_miRNA from 1 species